UAGUACCACUGGGAAUAACACGGUACCUUUGCUGGCUGUCUCACUGCUGAGGCCAGGUGCUGGACACUUCCCAUGCAGCCUUCCCAGGGAGAAGAGCAGGAUCUCCCAUUAACAACACUUUUGAGAGCACCAGACAAAGUCUCGGACACACAUUGUCCACCCAGCUGCUGCUGGUGCUACUCAGCCCUUCAACUCUUUAUGGGAACAGAGGGUCCCCCUGUGGGACUCCUGGGAAAGGACAGGGAUCUUCAGCACAAGUAACAAUGGCACAAGAUGGGGACGUUGAACAACUUGCUGAUAGAAGAAAAGGUGAAGGACAGAAGCACUGGAGGAAAUCACAGUCUCCUGCUGCCAGCUUUCUGGAUGACUGGUGGUACCUGCAGCUCAGUGAAAGCCUUAGCACAGUCACAGCAACAAACAACACCCAGGCCAGUCUAGAAAGGAAC
rnacentral:lncRNA from 14 species